AGCCGUUGUCGCCGGACAGGAGCUGCUCGAGAAGGUCCAGGUCCACGGCCGCCCCGCCUUCGGAUGGAGUGCGAGCCUGCAGGGAGACGCUCGGCUGGGGGUCUCCUCCUCCCCCUUCCAUGCAGCUAUUUUGUCCAUUCUGGUUCUGGGGCCACAAGCAAGGCCACUGAAAUGCAUGCAACAGGCCUAACCUCGAGUGACAGCAUAGAGGGGGAUCAGGGCCUCAGGGGUGUUGUGCUGAUUGAAGAUUCUAGCAUAAAUUGGUGUAGGGCCAACCAAAAUUUGUCCUCUAUGCUCAGAGAAUGGCAACCCACAGAUUCAGGGAGGACAACUACUUCAAAAAAGUUCUUUACUCGGGGAGGUUAAAAAGUUCAAGUUAUUCCAACGCUCCAGUGUGCAGAGAUCAAUAAACUAGCAAACAUAAUUGUGGUUUGGGUGGAGAUACAUGUGAUCCGGAUACCAAAGUCCAAUUUGAGAGGUUAAUCAUGUGAUGGAGCAAUAGGUUUUUUAUUCCCAAGACUGUUCCAGUUUUGGAAGUGUUUAAAUAUUUUCUUUCAGUAUGUUACUUACUAUUUGUACUACGCGCAUUUUGCUUGAUUCCUCCCAUGUGAGCGUGUUUCUGCGCCCUGAUCAGGGAGGAAUGCGAUAAAAUAGGCUUUGAUUCAUUAUUCCAUGACACGCACAGGAAUCUCGGUGCCUCUUGGCGAUGCAACAAGCCAGCACAGUACAGAUCGCUUGUCUGAAUUGGAUGACGAGUAGAAGACACUAGUUGGAGAAUGACAUCAAUGAUAUUAUGAUAAAGUGCAAGGCACCAAGAAUGCUCGUCUGUGAGGAACCCUAGCAUUCACUUCAAGGAGGUGAUCGAGCACCCAUGUUACAAUCAACUGCAAGAGAUGAUCAAGUUUCACAGGUAAGUUUGGUAGAUCUGAGGGGCUCACACACAUUAAUAAUUGAGUCAUGCAACAGUGUGGCACGCAAUCAUGGGAUACUCGGAAUCUGACAACUAAUCUGAAAUCGAAAUCUCGAGGCUGUGCUGAACUGCAUCGAACCCUGGGAGUUUGAAUAUUCCAAGUCAAGGGAGAUGGAUUCAUUCAUUAUCAUAGACGAGUAUAGUUUCGGAUUCGCUAUGUGCACCAGGAGCAGCAUCCACGGGAGGGCAAACCCGUCAGGCACGGAUGCAUGAUGGAGCUCUGAAAGCAACGGCCGCUGAAAGUUACUGCAUCCCUGACGUUUGCCGAACGAAUGGUGUGCUUGGAAGCUCUAUCUGGUCUCCAUGAUCGUGCGCUGAACUCACCGGGGUGGUAAGUUUCUGUAAGUGGGAAAAGAGAAGAAGGUCAGAAUUGCCCAAAUGUCUGCUGAUCUUUCCUAGAGCACGUCAUGCGCACUAUUUUCUUGGGCGAACAAAGAUAUUUGUCGACAAAGGUCAUGCAAACUAUAUAGUGUAUAAUAUCCCAUGGUUCACCUGUUGUGGUUUCUGACGAAAGUGUAAUCGCAGUCCUCAUUGUUCGGUUUUACAUGAAUGUGUCUCUGGACAGUUCAUACAGAAAUUCAGGCAUGAUUCAGUUA